rnacentral:rRNA from 1 species
UGUCUCAGUUCGGAUUGGAGUCUGCAACCCGACUCCAUGAAGCUGGAUUCGCUAGUAAUCGCGCAUCAGCCACGGCGCGGUGAAUACGUUCCCGGGCCUUGUACACACCGCCCGUCAAGCCAUGGAAGCCGGGGGGUGCCUGAAGUGCGCUGCCGCGAGGAGCGCCCUAGGGUAAAACCGGUGACUGGGGCUAAGUCGUAACAAGGUACC